AGUAAACCGUAACGACUCUCGGCAACGGAUAUCUCGGCUCUCGCAUCGAUGAAGAACGUAGCGAAAUGCGAUACUUGGUGUGAAUUGCAGAAUCCCGUGAACAAUUGAGUCUUUGAACUCAAGUUGCGCCCGAACCCAUUAGGCCGAGGGCACGU
rnacentral:rRNA from 1 species